rnacentral:rRNA from 1 species
AACGUAGGAGGCGAGCGUUAUCCGGAUUCACUGGGCGUAAAGCGCGCGUAGGCGGUUGGGUAAGUCGGACGUGAAAGCCCCUGGCUCAACUGGGGGAGGCCGUUCGAUACUGCCCGGCUUGAGGGUGAGAGAGGGAAGUGGAAUUCCCGGUGUAGCGGUGGAAUGCGUAGAGAUCGGGAGGAACACCAGUGGCGAAGGCGGCUUCCUGGCUCACCCCUGACGCUGAUAGCGCGAAAGCGUGGGGAGCAAACGGG